rnacentral:rRNA from 1 species
CCUACGGGGGGCAGCAGUGGGGAAUAUUGGACAAUGGGGGGAACCCUGAUCCAGCCAUGCCGCGUGUGUGAAGAAGGCCCUCGGGUUGUAAAGCACUUUCAGUGAGGAAGAACGCCUGGUGGUUAAUACCCAUCAGGAAAGACAUCACUCACGGAAGAAGCACCGGCUAACUCCGUGCCAGCAGCCGCGGUAAUACGGAGGGUGCGAGCGUUAAUCGGAAUUACUGGGCGUAAAGCGCGCGUAGGUGGCUUGAUAAGCCGGUUGUGAAAGCCCCGGGCUCAACCUGGGAACGGCAUCCGGAACUGUCAAGCUAGAGUGCAGGAGAGGAAGGUAGAAUUCCCGGUGUAGCGGUGAAAUGCGUAGAGAUCGGGAGGAAUACCAGUGGCGAAGGCGGCCUUCUGGACUGACACUGACACUGAGGUGCGAAAGCGUGGGUAGCAAACAGGAUUAGAUACCCUGGUAGUC